UACGUAGGGGGCUAGCGUUAUCCGGAAUUACUGGGCGUAAAGGGUGCGUAGGUGGUUUCUUAAGUCAGAGGUGAAAGGCUACGGCUCAACCGUAGUAAGCCUUUGAAACUGGGGAACUUGAGUGCAGGAGAGGAGAGUGGAAUUCCUAGUGUAGCGGUUAAAUGCGUAGAUAUUAGGAGGAACACCAGUUGCGAAGGCGGCUCUCUGGACUGUAACUGACACUGAGGCACGAAAGCGUGGGGAGCAAACAGG
rnacentral:rRNA from 1 species